GUGCUUCUUGCAACCACUUCUCUUGCUGAUCUUUCAGGGGAUGAUUCCUCUGUGGGUGAUCACACUUGGAAACAUAAGCCACCAAGGAAACAUUGGCCUCCUAUGACAACAAAAAAUGAGGUUCCAAAAAAGGAACAAACAAUCCCACAAAACAAACUAUCACAAGAGGAGCAUACUAUAGUCGAGGAGAGUCACGAUCACGAUCACGAUCACGAUCACGAUCACGAUCACCACCACCACCAUCCAGGGAAGAAGCACCCCCCUUCCAAAAAUUAAACACUAAACUUGUGAAUCUAUACACCAUGCAUGCAAUCUUAUGAAAUAUGGUUUUAAUUAUUAAAGUUCAAUCUUGGCUAUUGUAUAAUAAAGGCAUGUAAUGUUGUUUUUACUUGAUUUUAUUUGUAUUUCAAUUUGGUUUGUUUAAAAAUAAAGAUGAGCUUGCUAUACAUAUGCAUUCCAUCAAUCAUGUUUCUUUCUUGUUGUUUGGCUUCCUUUCAAUUUCGUAUGAACUAGUGUAAUAUAUUGUGAUAUUUAUGAAAUGAUCAAUUAUUGGUUAUGAUCUACAAAAUCUACAUGCAUGUGAUUUUUUAUCAGCAAAAUAAAUUGUAUUAAUGAAACAAGUAGUUGAGCUCCGGUGGUUAAGGAACAUCAAUUAAGGAUGAACUAUUCAUUAAAAUUUGAGUUCGAAUCCUGACUUGAAAAGUAUUGGCUUCAUUGAUCUCUUGACUGAAAUCUAAAUUAUCAAGAUCGUUUCCGAAACUGGUGGGUUAAGACAAAAAAAAAAGGACUGAGACUAUAGUGUCAUAUGCAUACAUCACUUAAAGCUUCAAUGCUUCAUAUUUGCUCUUUUUAGUAAUUAAGGAUAUGUAUAGAGACUUUAUAUUUACUCUUUUUUGUGUAAAAGGACCAACAAAACCUCUUAUCCUAAAACAAAAUGAUAAAACUAAUAGGACAUGUACUCUUGAAUAAGUCUUAACAAAUGAUACCUUUGUUGUACGCCUAGAGACUUUCCGGUGUCAAAUUUAUGUGGUUGUUCAAGAUUUAUUGUGAUGAUUUCCGGAUCCCCACAUGAUUCAACACACAUUUCAAUUUCAUUUUGAAAUCUAUUUUUAAACGCACAAAUUCUUUGUAGUGUAAAUUGAUUUUUAAAGACAUUUUGAUUUUUUUGAUGUGUGAAGAUGCUGAAUGAUACAUUUUGAUACUACCUGCUGAUGAACACACAUUUUAAAGAUGAUUGGGCAUGCUAAAGUUUGUAAGAGUCUCUAUUUUUUAGAAAAAGUUCCAACCAAUUUGUUAGCCCUUAUCAUACCGAUAUGCAAUUCUUUUUGUAAUAAAAUAUCUUCUAUAAAAUGCUUACACAAAUCCUAUUCAUACCUUUAACUCUCCAAGGCCUCAAUCCCUAUAUGAAGAGGACCCAAAAUACUCUAAGCUGAGCUCCCUUUAAUAUACAAUGUAGUCAAGAUCAAGAUUCUACGUAGGAUCGGCAGGCUUGUGAAGGAUCAUAAGUACGAGGGUCAUAGCACAAUUCGUAAGAUCAUACUCAAAGGCAAAAUUGUAACUUCACAUAUACACACAAACACAAAAAAUAUAUUAAUACAUGAAAACAAUAACUUACAAAUCACAACAAUAAACUUAGUUAAUUAGUAAUUUUCAUAAUCAUAAUUCCAAAAGUUCACAAUAACCAAGUACUAACUAAAGGCCUAUGAUUGCGUCAAAAAAAAUAAAAAACUAAAGGCUUAUGUAUCAUUCACAAAAGAAAGCAUCAUGCAUGAUGCUUCACUAAAAACAAGGCCUAUGCAUCAUUCAAAAGAAAGACCUAUCAUUCACAAAAGACAUAAUCUAUAGAAACAAGUCUAGGCAUUUAAGAUAUUUUCCAAUCCAAAAUCUUGAUAGUCACCGAUAUCACCAUCUUCAUCCUCAUUCUCUUCCACUUCAACGGCAUCAUCAUCGUCUUCUUCAUCAUUGGGAGAAAGAUCCAAAUUAAAUCAUCACCAUGAGCAUCACCAAUACUAGCAUCUUGUCCAACAUUGUUAGAAAUAAUAUAAAAUUAUUGAUGUAGCUCUAUCCUAACAGCUUAAGCUUUUGGGAUAAUCGGUUAUUUGACAUGGUAUCAGAGCCUCUAUGACUAAGUGGUCUAGAGUUCGAUCCCCGCUUUCUCACUUUCUAAUUAAAAAGUGGAAUUUAAGCAUAUGGUAGGUGGGCCUAUNNNNNNNNNNNNNNNCCCAAGUGGGCUCUUGCGUGAGGGGGCGUGUUAGAAAUAAUAUAAAAUCAUUGAUGUAGCUCUAUCCUAACAGCUUAAACUUUUGGGAUAAUUGGUUAUUUGACAUGCCAUUCUUCAUAAGCAGCAGACACUUAUUCAGGCCAUCUCGCAACCGAUGUGAGACUUCUUAACACUCCCCCUCACGCCCAACACUAUUGAGCUUGGUGCGUGGAUAUAAACGGUGGGCGGCCCGAUUCCGGAAACCUGAUAACAGGUGGUCCAACGGAUCGUGGAGAGGCUCUGAUACCAUCUUAGAAUUGAGUAUUGGGCCUAACUCAUCCUUACAAAACCGGCUUGUAAGGUGAGGAUUGCCUCUAGUAUAUAAACACUUAUUCAGGCCAUCUCGCAACCAAUAUGAGACUUCUUAACAAACAUCAGUGAGAUGUCAUCUUCUUCAUUUUCAUCAUACUCCACAUUCUCAAUCCAUUCCUUCAUCUUUAGAAUCAAUUUCUUCAACCUCAUAGCUAGCACUCUUUCUCUUAUUCUUCUUCUUUCCUAAUUUUGAGUUAAUAACCACCACAAAAACAACCUUAUUCAUUGUGACAUGCUGCAAGCGAUUACUUUUCUUAGUGUGAACCAAAAUGAUCAUAACAUAAAUGAAAACAUAAUAGAUAUUUGUAAUACAAUUUGUUUAAAAAGUUCGAAAACUUACCCUUUUAAAAGCACUCCAAUUCCCUUCAGACCCCGAUGAGUUACAUAUCAAACUAAGUACUCGCAAAACGAACCAUUGCAAUUCACGAUGUUUACGGCCAUACUUUUUGUAUUUCUCUUACAUUGUUUUUGUAAUCUUUUAAUUUUAAAUAGUUCAUUUAAAAAAUGGACGUGGUAGGAGCGUAGUAGAAAUUUCGACCCACUAUUUCUAGUUAGUCUGUCCCGCACGGCACCGUUUUUGAAGGAUUAGAGGUGGGACUAAUUGUUGCAGACUUGUAGGGCGACUUAAACCGUUUUGCCAUUCCUAAAAUUCUCCAUUUUUUGAGAUCAUAGUAGACAAAUAUGCAUGGGAUAUAGAAACCUCAAAGACUAGUAAAAUAAGAUGAUUUAUUCUCUUUUAUUUGUUUUUUUUUUACUGGUUUUUUAUCCUAAUAAAAAUAAUUUUAUUUCCAUUUAAUGCUAAAUAUGAGCAUUUCUAUCUACUAAAAUUUACUUAAUUCAUCAUAUUGUAGGAGAUUGACCUCUUCUGUUUAAUUCAAUUAGUUGGUAUUGGUUAAAGAAGAUUAUGAGUUAGUCAAACGUUAUAUAAAAUGGAUAUAAUGAGUCUUGCAAAUACAAUAAAAAAUGGAUAGUACCGAUGAAUCUAAAACUUUACACAAAUUGAAGGACAAGAAUUUACGCACGUCUGUGUUUAGUUAUUACUACACUCAAUAUUCUCUACCACCAGCACCAGUGAUAAAAUUGGAGUUACUUUACAAAUUAAUUGUCUUAUUGGGUAUAAUAUUGAUUAAUUAAUAUUAGAAUUUUAGAGGUCUAUACUCAACCACAAAAACUAGUUUGAGAGUUGAAGUUUGCACUACACUUAUAAAAGUUAUCUAUGUCAUAUCUCUAGCUAAUGUGGGACUUCUAACACACCCCAUCACGUUCAGAACUGAACAAGCUGGAACGUGGGAUCAACAACAACGGGUGGUCCAAAUAUGGGAGGUCUCCAAAACAAACAACAAAUGGAUCUACGAUAGACUCUGAUACCAUAUUAAAAUUUUAAAGGUCAAUAUUCAAUCACAAAAGCUAGCUGGAGAGUUGAGGUUUGCACUACACUUAUAAAGACUAAAUGUGUCAUAUCUCUAGCCAAUGUGAGACUUCUAACAAUUAAUGGUAUACUAAUUAAUUCACUACUAUAUGAAGUGCUGGUCAAACAAGAUAAAUAUAGAUUGUAAUCUUAACCAUUCUUUUUUUUUAACAAAUAUAGAAAAUAACUAGUUAAUUACCAAAAUGUGAUUUUGUGUUAUAGGGCAAAUGUUGGUGGUUACUGGUUAGUCUCUUAGGGGAAAAGGAAAUUGUUAGCUACAGACAUUAAAUUCUGGGCCUCUCCUUAUUGAACUCCAUCAUCGAAGACAUACAAAAAUGUGCUUAGUUAUAGAAGAAAAGAACUCGAACACUUUUAAAUAAGUGGUUAGAUAUUUAAUUUUUAACUAAUGUAUAAAUAAAAUUUUGAUAUAAAGAUAUAAUAUCGUUUGGUAAGGACAAUUCAAAUGGUGAAAUACUUUAACUAUAUUUGUUAUGCUGGAGUGGGGAUUCUUUUUAAAAGAAUAUCCACUUAAAUGUUUUCAAAAUUUGGAUUGAACUAAUUUAGCUUUAUAAAAUCAGUUUGUAGAGUAAAAAUAUAAAACCGGUUUGUAGAGUAAAAAUGUACGCCCAUACAAACAAAACAUAUGUUCAAGUUGUUGGGUCACAAGGGACAUAUGUUCAGGUUGUUGAGUCAUGAGGAAACAACCGGAUCAUCUAGCUACAUUGAGAUAUAUUUCAUAUCUACAAAAUAUUAACAAAAACUAAGUAUUAACAAGUGCAACCACACUAUAAAAGGACCACUACACUCCUAUAUAUGCAUCAUUCAAACAUAGAAACCAAUAGCCAAAAAAUGUCUCCCAAAUACAUUUCACUAUGUCUUCUAUUAGGGAUUGUGCUUCUUGCAACCACUUCUCUUGCUCAUUUUCCAGGGGAGGAAUCCCCUGUGCAUGAUCACACUUGGAAACAUAAUCCACCAAAGAGACAUUGGCCUCCUAUGGCAACACAAAAGGAGGUUCCAAAAGUGGAACAAUCAAUCCCACAAAACAAACAAGAUUCACAAGAGAAGCAUACUAAAGUUGAGGAUAGUAACCAUUCUCACCACCCUCAUCCAUGGAAGAAACACCCCCCUUCCAAAAAUUAAUCACUAAACUUGUGAAGCUACAUACUUGCAUGCAAUCUUAUGAAAUAUGGUUUUAAUUUCAAUCUUGGUUAAUGUAAUAAAAGCAUGUAAUGUUGUGUUCACUUGAUUUUAUUUGUAUUUUACUUUGGUAUGUUUAAAGAAUAAAGAUGAGCUUGCUAUACAUGCAUGCCAUCAAUCAUGUUUCUUUUUUCUUGUUUGUAUGUUUCCCUUCAAUUUGGUGUGAACAAGUGUGAUGUAUUGUGCCAUUUAUGAAAUGAAUUAUUUGUUAUGAAUUAUGAUCUACAAUCUACAUGAAAGUGCUUUUUUAUAAGCAAAAGUUUUAAUUAUGAAACUAGGAUAGCACUCGUGCGUCCGCACGGGUCGCGCCUGCGGCGCGUUAUUUAAGUCAUCGGCUGCAUUUCUUGGUUUUAAUUUGAAAAUUAUAUAUAAAAAGUAAGAAAAAAAGUAGUUAAUUACAUUAAAAAUAUUAAAUAAAAUUAAGAAAAAAUCAAAUCUAUUUAAUAAGCAAAACGGAAAUAUUGUUUAGAUAUAUAUAAGAAAUAAAGUUACAAAAUAUAUAAAUAUAUAAUAUUGGAUAAUUUAUCAUCAUAUGCAAAUAUAUAAAUAUCAGAUAUUACAAUGAAAUUUGAAAAAGAUGACAUCUAUAUAAGUUACAAAAUUGUAUAGAAUGAUUUGUAUAGAAUGAUUCAUUAAAAAGAAAACUCAAUUCAAACAAGCAUCUACAACAUUAAAAAGUACAAGCCUCUACAACAUCUUUGUCCUUUCAUCACUCUACAACAUUAUUUAUCAGUUAUUACGAUAAUCUAACAGCUAAGAGAUUAACCAUUCAUUUUUUUAAACUGCCAAAUUCAAGGAUAGUUUGGGGGGUUAAGAGUCCCACAAUUUCUAGAUAUGGGUCUGAACUGAAGAUAUGUUUAUAAGUAGGGCAAUCAUCGUCUUAUAAAUCGGUUUUGUAAAGUUGACACUACAAUAUUUGUAGCCUCUGGCAACAUGUUAUUAUGCAACCCUUGACAAUUGUUGCCUAAAAGUAGUAUAGGCGACAAUUUAUGCAUGUUAAUGAGUGUAUUCUAAGAUGGUAUCAGAAUCUUUUCAAAAUUCGUUCAGCCACCUGCUAUAAAUCACAUUAGUUGAGGGGACAAUCUUCAUCUUACGAGCCAAUUUGCUUAACAUACACUUAAGUUGAGGUUGGAUCCAAUAAUUUUCAUAUAUAAGUAAAAUUGAUUUUACACACAAGUGACUUGUAAUUUAUCCUUUCAUAGUAAAGUUAUAACCUAAGUGUGUGUGUUUGAGGCAAAUCAAACCAAACAAAACAAAACAAAACAAAACAAUCCAAUUCAAACCAAACCAAAUCAAAUUGUACCAUACUGAAUUAAACAUACCUUCAAAUUCCAAAUUGAUUGCUUUCAUUCCAAUGGUUUUCUAACCAUAGAAUCUGGGCGCUAAUUUCCCAUUUAAAUAAAACCUUUCAAACAAAUGCACAAUAAGAAGCUCUGAAUAGAAAAUAUUCCAAUUCACUGCAAAACGACACAUGCUAUAAUAGUACUUGAUCCAAAAAAACAAAAAUAUCCAAUAUGUUACAAGUUCUCACAGACGCGAUUAGAAUAUGUUUCGG
rnacentral:lncRNA from 1 species